rnacentral:rRNA from 1 species
UGGGGAAUAUUGGACAAUGGGCGCAAGCCUGAUCCAGCCAUGCCGCGUGAGUGACGAAGGCCUUAGGGUUGUAAAGCUCUUUUGGCGGGGAAGAUAAUGACGGUACCCGCAGAAUAAGCUCCGGCUAACUUCGUGCCAGCAGCCGCGGUAAUACGAAGGGAGCUAGCGUUGUUCGGAAUCACUGGGCGUAAAGCGCACGUAGGCGGAUGUGUCAGUCAGGGGUGAAAUCCCGGAGCUCAACUUCGGAACUGCCCUUGAUACAGCACGUCUUGAGUCCGAUAGAGGUGGGUGGAAUUCCUAGUGUAGAGGUGAAAUUCGUAGAUAUUAGGAAGAACACCGGUGGCGAAGGCGGCCCACUGGAUCGGUACUGACGCUGAGGUGCGAAAGCGUGGGGAGCAAACAGGAUUAGAUACCCCCGUAGUCCCUGAGCGGGCUGGCAAGGCGCAU